UACGUAGGGUGCGAGCGUCGUCCGGAAUUAUUGGGCGUAAAGGGCUCGUAGGCGGUUUGUCGCGUCGGGAGUGAAAACCUCGGGCUUAACUCGGGGCUUGCUUUCGAUACGGGCAGACUAGAGGUAUGCAGGGGAGAACGGAAUUCCUGGUGUAGCGGUGAAAUGCGCAGAUAUCAGGAGGAACACCGGUGGCGAAGGCGGCAUCCUGGACCAACACUGACGCUGAGGAGCGAAAGCCAGGGGAGCAAACGGG
rnacentral:rRNA from 1 species